rnacentral:rRNA from 1 species
UACGGGAGGCAGCAGUAGGGAAUAUUGGUCAAUGGRUGAGAGYCUGAACCAGCCAUGCCGCGUGCAGGAAGACGGCCUUCUGGGUUGUAAACUGCUUUUGYCAGGGGAUAAAAUUUCCKUGCGWGGRAAAUUGAAGGUACCUGGUGAAUAAGCCMCGGCUAACUACGUGCCAGCAGCCGCGGUAAUACGUAGGBGGCAAGCGUUGUCCGGAUUUAUUGGGUUUAAAGGGUGCGUAGGCGGCCUAUUAAGUCAGUGCUGAAAUAUCCCGGCUUAACCGGGAGGGUGGCAUUGAUACUGAUGGGCUAGAGUACAGAYGAGGUAGGCGGAAUUGACGGUGUAGCGGUGAAAUGCUUAGAUAUCGUCAAGAACACCUAUAGCGAAGGCAGCUUACUAGGCU